CUCAUUCCAAGGAAGCCAGAGCUCAGAAGACAUGGAACAAAUACAAUGAAAACAUAACUUGAGGUCGGAAAAUGUCCCCUGAAUAUUUAUGUCAAUGUCCUACCUUAGUGAAUAUUACUUAAUACUGUGGCUCCUUUAAAGCAUUGUGAUUUCAUUAUGAAGUCAGAUGGAAUGAGGAGUGUGUAAAUCCAGAAUCAGAAUCCCAGCGACGAAGCUUUUCUUGCUCUGUUACCUUGGAAAAUGCUUUGAACCAGACCAGAUAAGAAAAGUAAAAGUCUGGAGUGUAAUCCUUCCAAUUGUCUUUUGGCUUCUCUUCUACUUCUACAAAAAGUUCAACAAGUCGGUGGGCAGAAGUCUAAAAUCAAGGUGUCAGCAGUGUGGAAUCCUUCUGGAGGCUUUGAGGUACUCGACUGUGGUUCAAUCUCCAGACCUAGAACAGGAAUAGAAGCAAAGGGAUUUUCAAUAUAAAUAUUAGUUGAAUGAAGAGGACACUGAAGCCAAAGGAGAAAAUUAACUAGCUCAGUCUUGCAUGACCCCUGUGAAUGGACUGAUCUUGAAACCCAGGUAACCUUACUCCCUGGUCCCAGCCUUUGUUAAUGGGGACACAAUCCUGGAAAUUUUGCCUGUGUGUAAACCUCUAGGGGCUUUUUCUUUCAUCGUUUUACA